UGCCCCAUGGCUGAGCUGGUUACAGCGUCCGACUGUUAAGCCGUCUGUGGCUAAGCUAAAAUCGGAAGGUCGUGAGUUCAAUCCUCACUGGGGCAG